GCUAGGGUGGCAGAACCCGGACAUGCAAAAGACCUAAGCUCUUUGAACAGAGGUUCAAAUCCUCUCCCUAACU
rnacentral:tRNA from 1 species